rnacentral:lncRNA from 1 species
AGAUUCUAUUAUAGAUAAUUGUGAGUAAAAAUAUUUUUUUACAUGUUUAUAUUAAAAAAUAUAUAUAUUUUUAAAACUAAAUUGAAAGCAAUACAAAUAAUUAAUAUAUAAAAGUUUUUGUACAUCUAUUAUUAAUAUCUUAUAUAAUAUCAAAAAUGCUAAAAUAAUAGGUUAUGCCAAUUAAAAAUUUUAUUUUGUUAUUAAGAUACAAUUUUGCAAAUCAUUCUCUAAAUUUUUUAUUAAAAUUACUACUUUCAAAAUUUUUCUUAUAAAUCCAAUUACAAACAAAAUGCAACAUCAAGCCAAAGCCAAACCAAUAAAGAACAUCAAACAAGAAAAAAUUU